UACAGAGGGGGCAAGCGUUGUUCGGAAUUACUGGGCGUAAAGGGCGCGUAGGCGGCCUUCUAAGUCGAACGUGAAAUCCCCGGGCUCAACCCGGGAACUGCGUCCGAUACUGGAAGGCUUGAAUCCGGGAGAGGGAUGCGGAAUUCCAGGUGUAGCGGUGAAAUGCGUAGAUAUCUGGAGGAACACCGGUGGCGAAGGCGGCAUCCUGGACCAACACUGACGCUGAGUGAGCGAAAGCCGGGGGAGCAAACGGG
rnacentral:rRNA from 1 species